GAGGCUAUCGCCGUGAAGCUUGCCGUCCUCCAAGUCCCCUCCCCCAUUCAGCGACCGGAGCUCUGCCCCGCGGGACCCGCGGGCGCGGACGGCCCCUUGGAUGGCCAUCUGC
rnacentral:SRP_RNA from 12 species